rnacentral:rRNA from 1 species
AUUGAACGCUGGCGGCAUGCUUUACACAUGCAAGUCGAACGGUAACAGGCCGCAAGGUGCUGACGAGUGGCGAACGGGUGAGUAAUGCAUCGGAACGUGCCCAGUCGUGGGGGAUAACGCAGCGAAAGCUGUGCUAAUACCGCAUACGAUCUAUGGAUGAAAGCGGGGGACCGUAAGGCCUCGCGCGAUUGGAGCGGCCGAUGUCAGAUUAGGUAGUUGGUGGGGUAAAGGCCCACCAAGCCGACGAUCUGUAGCUGGUCUGAGAGGACGACCAGCCACACUGGGACUGAGACACGGCCCAGACUCCUACGGGAGGCAGCAGUGGGGAAUUUUGGACAAUGGGCGCAAGCCUGAUCCAGCAAUGCCGCGUGCAGGAAGAAGGCCUUCGGGUUGUAAACUGCUUUUGUACGGAACGAAACGGUCUGGGUUAAUACCCUGGGCUAAUGACGGUACCCUAAGAAUAAGCACCGGCUAACUACGUGCCAGCAGCCGCCGUAAAAC